CUACAUGAAGCUGGAAUCGCUAGUAAUCGCGGAUCAGAAUGCCGCGGUGAAUACGUUCCCGGGUCUUGUACACACCGCCCGUCACACCAUGGGAGUCGGAAAUGCCCGAAGUCGGUGACCUAACUGAAAGGAAGGAGCCGCCGAAGGCAGGUCUGGUGACUGGGGUGAAGUCGUAACAAGGUAUC
rnacentral:rRNA from 1 species